rnacentral:rRNA from 1 species
GAUGAACGCUAGCGGCAGGCUUAAUACAUGCAAGUCGAGGGGUAGCAAGAUUGUAGCAAUACAAUUGUUGACGACCGGCAAACGGGUGCGGAACACGUACACAACCUUCCUACAAGUGGGGAAUAGCCCAGAGAAAUUUGGAUUAAUACCCCGUAACAUAGCGAUGUGGCAUCACAUUGCUAUUAUAGCUUCGGCGCUUGUUGAUGGGUGUGCGGCUGAUUAGAUAGUUGGCGGGGUAACGGCCCACCAAGCCUACGAUCAGUAGCUGAUGUGAGAGCAUGAUCAGCCACACGGGCACUGAGACACGGGCCCGACUCCUACGGGAGGCAGCAGUAAGGAAUAUUGGACAAUGGACGCAAGUCUGACCCAGCCAUGCCGCGUGAAGGAUUAAGGUCCUCUGGAUUGUAAACUUCUUUUAUAAGGGACGAAAAAAGGUCUUUCUAGAUCGUCUGACGGUACCUUAUGAAUAAGCACCGGCUAACUCCGUGCCAGCAGCCGCUGUAAUAC